GGCAGUUAUCGAUCCGAUUCUAGCGACGAACCCUCGGCAGGUAUCGGACCGAUUCUAGCGACGAACCCUCGGCAGGUAUCGGACCGAUUCUAACCGGCAGGUAUCGGACCGAUUCUAGCGACGAACCCUCGGCAGGUAAUCGGAUCGAUUCUAACGGCAGGUAUCGGACCGAUUCUAGCGACGAACCCUCGGCAGGUAUCGGACCGAUUCUAACGGCAGGUAUCGGACCGAUUCUAGCGACGAACCCUCGGCAGGUAUCGGACCGAUUCUAACCGGCAGGUAUCGGACCGAUUCUAGCGACGAACCCUCGGCAGGUAAUCGGAUCGAUUCUAACGGCAGGUAUCGGACCGAUUCUAGCGACGAACCCUCGGCAGGUAUCAGACCGAUUCUAACGGCAGGUAUCGGACCGAUUCUAGCGACAAACCCGCGGCAGGUAUCGGACCGAUUCUAGCGACAAACCCUCGACAGGUAUCGGAU